CUCCCAUUAACAAUACUCCUUCAUCAACUGAUAACCACAAUGUACAACCUUGCACUCUCAAAAGACCACUCAAAACUCAAUAAAUUCCAUCCAAUUCCAAGAAUAACAGACUUCACUCCAAUCAAUCUGAAUUCACAGAAUUCUUGUAAUCACAGACUUCCUUUGUUGAAAUACACACACACAACUCUCAAUAAACAACAAUCAUAAUCUUCCAUCCAUAAUCAAGCUUCCAAUAACUUCUCAUAUAAUUCAAUCAAUCACUACUCCAAUUACAUCAUUAAUAACUCAUAAAUCAAUCUCUGAUUUAU
rnacentral:lncRNA from 1 species